AUUAAAGCUCACAGCAUCUACCUGUCUGUAGUGGAUUUUCCCACAUUUUAAAUGAUGUAAUCUCAUUUAAUGUCUCUGUUUUUAGUCUGUAUAGUUUUUCUCCCUACGAAUACACUCAAAGUAGUCUUAAAAUAAAACCCACAAAACAAUUCAAGAUGAAAUACUUUUUAUUUUCUCGUUUAAUGCCAGUUGCCCUCUUUCUCUGUAUGUCACUCAUUUGCUAAUACUCAGGCAAAAAGUACCAAUUUGUAUGCUGAUGAGUCUUGUGUAUUUUUUUUUUACCUCUGUCUCUCUAUGACAGAGAAAUGUAUAUGCUCAAUAUUGCUGUUCAAACUGAUGCUCAAAUUUCCAAGCACUACCUGAACGCCUCAUCGGUCUUUAACAAAUCACUGCACCAACUGUCGUCAUUCCGCUUUGCUCUCUGCUGUGGUAAGUACAAUACGGUACUGCACUGUUUUAUUUUUAUGAUGGUAAAAAUACAUGUUUGACAUUUAAACUCACAUAUCAAGUCUUUUUAAAGUUCAAUAGAGUUCAAAGAAUAAAGAAAGCAAAAAAAGAAUAACCUUCGCUAUCAUUUAUAUCGGUUUAUGACGUUUUGCUGUUAGCAGCAGUGCUAACGCUAGCUUCAAUGCUAAUGCUAGCAACAAUGCUAACGCUAGCUAUAGUGCUAACACUAGACUUAGCAGUUGUUAACUGACAAAAAGAAUAUUCCUGUGAUAUUUAUUGGUGAUCAGUGAGACAAAAGUAACAAAUGAGCUUUAUUAUUACCAUUGUGGCUCAGUUUUAACAGUAAGAGUACUAGCACUAGCAGCAGUUCUAACACUAGCUGCAAUGCUAACGCUAGCUGCAAUGCUAACGCUAGCUGCAGUGCUAACACUAACUGAAGUGCUUAUGCUAGCAGGAAUGCUAGCGCUAGCAGCAAUGCUAAUGCUAGUAACAGUCUAACAGUAGCCUUACAUAAGUGGAAAUACUUCAGUUAAUUAGUUUGAAUUACAAAAUGGUUGCUGUGUCAGCUGGUGUGCUAUAUUACUCUAUAAUUACCCUGCUGACUAUAAGUUCAGUAUAUCAUGUCGUGUGGGCUUUGUAUUUCUGUUAGUCUGAUAACACUGUACAGACAACUAACAUAUUAUUUCUCGUCUUACACUUUCAGGAACUUGACUGACAUCUGUGCUUUGCCUGUGUGCAGAAGAACAAGGACCAGAUCUCCAGUCUUCUC
ensembl:lncRNA